GACGAACGCUGGCGGCGUGCUUAACACAUGCAAGUCGAACGGAAAGGCCCUCCUUUUGUGGGGUGCUCGACUGUCGAACGCGUGACUAACACGCGAGUACCCAGCCCUUGAUUAUGGGAUCACGUCAUGAAACUGGGGCUAAUAACGCAUAGCAGCUCCUGCCGCACGGUGCGGGUUGGAACGUUUCGGCGGUUGGGGAUGGAUUCGCGGCUGCUCAGCUUGGUGGUGGGGUAGUCGCUUACCAAGGCGUUGACAGGUAGCCGACCUGCGCGGGUCACCGGCCUCGUUGGGAGCGGGAUACGGCCCAGACUGGUACCGGAGGCAGCGGUCGCGAAUCUUGCACAAUGGGCCCACGCCUGAUGCAGCAACGCCGGGUGCGGGAUGACGGCUUUCGGGUUGUAAACCGCUUUCGCCUGUGACGAAGCCUGAGUGACGGUAACGGGUAAAGAAGCACCGGCUAACUACGUG
rnacentral:rRNA from 1 species